UGGUUGCUAAACAUAAUUCAAGAGUUCCAAAAGCACCUGCAGGAGUGUGUGGGAAAUAAACUUUCACACUCAGAUGGCCCCUCCCCACCUUUGACCCUCCCCUUCUAAUCACCAUGUAUAUUCAAAGCAUCUGUAGAUUGCAGGCUUUGUGUUUAACUGGCUGUGACAAAGCAAGCAGUGUUUCAGGAAACUGACUGAACGGUCGAGAGAGUAGCCCAAAUAAAGGAGCCUAAGAGAAGUAGAGAGACAGAGAGUGACACAGACUGACAACAGGACACACAUUUCCCAACGGAUACAGAGAGAGCAUUCCAUGUGAGGACAAUAGUGGGACAAAAAUGCUCAGAAGGAGAAGCCUGUCAUUUGGUGGUUUUGGAUGGAUUGACAAGCCCACCUUGUCAGCAUUGAAAUCCCGGACCUUAUCAGUCAAAAACAUACACACAAGACAUUGCUGCAGAGCAGCACUGCAACUAAUCAUGUGGAAUGGACACAAAAAUGGAUUAUCUGAUCAUAAAUCUUCCUAAUGCAUCCAUAGAUGAGCACCACUUGAGAUGUCUCAAAUUGUGAUCUUCCAGAGAAAAUGUGUAGACGCUGCACGUUAUCGUUUGUUUAAUUUGCAUUAAAUGUAGUCAUCCGUUCACUUUAGCAUGCACGGUGGAAUCAAGAUGGCGCAGAAGCGACUCGUACAGUUACAGUAUAUCAGUAAGAUGAUCUUUUUAAUUGAGGCAAUUAGUUCUUUGUGAAACUAAUUAUUCCCCUCACGGAAGUAACCUCAUGAAUAUUUCACAUAUUCCAGAUCACACACAUGCAGCAUGCAAGGGUUUAUUAUGAGACCACCCCGCUUCAUAUUAUUUUACAUCCUCCAUGUUGUGUGUAGACUUUGUUUUUCUUGUUUGUAUUUAUCUUUGAAUUUUACCAAACAGACCAGAAGGCUGAGCCACAGAUUUGUUUUCUCCUCACAUUGCAAAUGUCACCUUGCACUUUCGUCAUUAUGCAUGUGCUGCUAAUUAGCUAACACUUGCCACAAGUUAUUUACACACUGCUCAGGCCCGCCUCAACUGAAACUCACACUGGAGCAUACUGAUUAAAAUUUAUGCGCAUGUGUUGGUUUUUCCUCACUGCUUUUCAAGAAUAAGGAUACAGUAAGAUGACCUUUGCUCCGAUGUGAAUUUUAAUAAGCCUUUUUUUAAAUCCAUCACUUUGCAUCAUGGACGGACAUUCAUAUUUUUUCCACUUCCUUUGAAUUUGUGUACAAUACGCUUUCUCGUAAGAAUGGUAAUUUACUGAAUUAAUUAUCUGGUUACCGAGUAUGCUUCACUGUUGUGCUUUGCCUCAAUCAGUGUUUUUGACCGAUAAUUUGCCUUACAAAUUAGUUUACUCCAGGAUAAUUUAUACCAACCUCCUGACCCACUUCUGUGACUUGACUGGAGGAAGAUGUUUCUCCUUUGAGAAGCUCUAACCUCAGGUUAUCGUCCUCUAGCCUAGUUUUUUCGGGGAGAAGGCGGGUGUAAAUGUUACCUUCCUGGCCGCAUCAUGGAAAAGAGCAAAUGUGCUGUUGCUAUUUCUGGAGCAUGGCAUUUACUCUGUGUCCUGGCCCACCUUCUGUAUUGCACGGAAUAAUGCCAAUUUAUGGCUAUUGAACAAACAUAGGACGUAAUAUCUACUGCUGUCAUGUUUACUCGAGAUGAUUUAAUAAAGCCCACAGCAAGCAACGCUUUCUUCCACAGAGGCUGCGUGUUGUCUUAAUGAACUCUUGGGUGAUUACUUUUAGUUUAUUUAGAGCUUUUGUGAAGACUGUGUACACAGUGCUACUGUUUGACCAACCAAAUGAAGACAACAUGAAAAGAGGAAGACGACUCGAGAACAAGGAUAGCGUUCAAAUAAAAUAGUUUUUAACAGCCAGACUUAUGCAUGUGUGUGUUAAAUUUCUACUUAAUACACUUGAGUACAUGUGAGAUUAAAAUAUUGUGGUUUCAAGUUGCAAAGAUAAUUCUUGAAGUGUAUGGGAAGUGGUAAAGCUCCACCCAUCCUCAAACGUCCAAAGGGAGGAUGUUGCACUUCCUCUCUUUUCACACCUCCUUUUCUAAGAAACAGAAAGCAUAAUAGAGAACGUUUAGGUACUCAUUUGAUUGCCUGUUUUUUUUGUUUUCAAAUUCCCUUAUAAUUGCAUAUUUGAUACGCAAGUCACACAGGCAAGGUCAUGAUUUUAUUGAAAGGCUAUUACAGUGUUGCGCCUCUUGAGGCCCUCAGUGUAUAGAUAUACAAUUUGCUGAGGAAAUGACUUUGCACCGCUAGAGGGCAGUGUUCACUUGUAUUUUUCUUCCCACCUGUUGAGGUUAACAUGGGUAGCAGGACUGCACAAACAAAAACUGACUAAUUUUAACUGUAAAGUACUAAACCCAUUGAAAUAGACUUUUUUUUUUUUUUUGCUUUAGAGGCUGAUUAAUUUGUUUUGAACCUGCUUUGCUUUUACAGCACAAAAACUAGAGCACAAACGUUACAUCAAGAUGUACUUACAGUACUUUAGAUUUAAAAAUAUUAUUGUAUUUACUCUGAUAAUAAAUGCACAGCAAAGUGUUGUUGUUUGUACUUAAAACAGCUUCAUUGAAUGGUACUAUAGGGAGUUAAGUCUGUUGCCAUGGCAGCAAGAACUGAUAGUCUUCUCGUAUGAUUCAUUUCCAUGGUGAUGGGUCAGUUGCAGCCUCUUUUUA